rnacentral:rRNA from 1 species
UACGUAGGGGGCAAGCGUUGUCCGGAUUAUUGGGCGUAAAGAGCGUGUAGGCGGCCAAGCAGGUCCGCUGUGAAAACUCGAGGCUCAACCUCGAGACGUCGGUGGAAACCGUUUGGCUAGAGUCCGGAAGAGGAGAGUGGAAUUCCCGGUGUAGCGGUGAAAUGCGCGAGAUAAUCGGGAAGAACACCCGUGGCGAAGGCGGCUCUCUGGGACGGUA